AUGUGCAAUGACAUUAUAUGUAAUUUAUCUAGCAAAUGAAGGUCUUUUUAAAAAAUGGUAUGAGGAGGACUCUCAUGAUGACACCUAAGUAAUGACAAUUUUGUUAAUCACACAUUUGGUAAAGUUAAUAAAUAAAAGUGCUCCUCAAAUAAUAAUAAGGAGAUAUUUUUUCUAAUUUUAGGUGGUCAAGAUUUUCACAAAAUUGUAUAAAUACACCUAUCACAUCUAACUAAAAAAUCACAACCAAAAACCAUACUACAUAAAGCCAAUUAAAAAUAUGUGUAAUUCUGCUUUCAUAGUUUCUAUCGUUUUAAUGAUCAUUGUUUCUCCAACUUUUCAUGCUAAAACAGUGUGUAGCAUCACUUGUGCAAUGAUGAAACACAAAGUGAAACCUUGUUUACAAGGUGUCAGGCAACCAGGGGAGAAGCCAACAGAUUUUUGUUGUAAUGCUAUAUAUAGUCUAAACCUCAAAGCAACAACAACACAAGCUCGAAGAUAUCUCUGCCAGUGUUUUAAAGAUGCUAUAAAGUCAUAUCCAUAUAUAAAAAUUAUCGAUUUUCCUGCACUUUGUGAUGUUCCUCUAGCUAUUCCUUUUACACCAUCGAUAAAUUGUCAAGGAAUUACAUUUUGAACCGAAGAAGAAGAUGCAACGGGAAAAAAGUAGUAAUCUUCUCUAUUAAAAAAGAAGUAUCAGUUUUAUCUACUCUAAAAUAGUCAUACUAGAUUCAUAUAAUCAAUUACAUCUAUUUGAUUAUUUAUAUUAAUUUAUUAAAUAUAUAACAUUCCUAAAGUAUCAAAAUAAUUAGAAAGAUAUUAAUAAUAAAUCAAUUUUAACUGUAA